rnacentral:rRNA from 1 species
CGCGGCCUAUCAGCUUGUUGGUGGGGUAAUGGCCUACCAAGGCUUCGACGGGUAGUCGGCCUGAGAGGGUGACCGGCCACACUGGGACUGAGACACGGCCCAGACUCCUACGGGAGGCAGCAGUGGGGAAUAUUGGACAAUGGGCGGAAGCCUGAUCCAGCAACGCCGCGUGAGGGAUGACGGCCUUCGGGUUGUAAACCUCUUUCAGUACCGACGAAGCGUAAGUGACGGUAGGUACAGAAGAAGCACCGGCCAACUACGUGCCAGCAGCCGCGGUAAUACGUAGGGUGCGUGCGUUGUCCGGAAUUAUUGGGCGUAAAGGGCUCGUAGGCGGUUUGUCGCGUCGGGAGUGAAAACACCGGGCUUAACUCGGUGCUUGCUUUCGAUACGGGCAGACUUGAGGCAUGCAGGGGAGAACGGAAUUCCUGGUGUAGCGGUGAAAUGCGCAGAUAUCAGGAGGAACACCGGUGGCGAAGGCGGUUCUCUGGGCAUGUCCUGACGCUGAGGAGCGAAAGUGUGGGGAGCGAACAGGAUUAGAUACCCUGGUAGUCCACACCGUAAACGUUGGGCGCUAGGUGUGGGGCCUAUUCCAUGGGUUCCGUGCCGCAGCUAACGCAUUAAGCGCCCCGCCUGGGGAGUACGG